rnacentral:rRNA from 1 species
UACGUAGGUGGCAAGCGUUAUCCGGAUUUAUUGGGCGUAAAGGGAACGCAGGCGGUCGGAUAAGUUAGAGGUGAAAUCCCGAGGCUCAACUUCGGAAUUGCCUCUGAAACUGUUCGGCUAGAGAGUAGUUGCGGUAGGCGGAAUGUAUGGUGUAGCGGUGAAAUGCUUAGAGAUCAUACAGAACACCGAUUGCGAAGGCAGCUUACCAAGCUACUUCUGACGUUGAGGCACGAAAGCGUGGGUAUCAAACAGG